UACGUAGGGCGCAAGCGUUGUCCGGAAUUAUUGGGCGUAAAGAGCUCGUAGGCGGCUUGCCACGUCGGUUGUGAAAGCCCGGGGCUUAACCCCGGGUCUGCAGUCGAUACGGGCAGGCUAGAGUGUGGUAGGGGAGAUCGGAAUUCCUGGUGUAGCGGUGAAAUGCGCAGAUAUCAGGAGGAACACCGGUGGCGAAGGCGGCAUCCUGGACCGACACUGACGCUGAGGAGCGAAAGCCAGGGGAGCAAACGGG
rnacentral:rRNA from 1 species